rnacentral:rRNA from 1 species
UACGUAGGGUGCGAGCGUUGUCCGGAAUUAUUGGGCGUAAAGAGCUCGUAGGCGGUCUGUCGCGUCGGUCGUGAAAACUUGGGGCUUAACCCUGAGCUUGCGGUCGAUACGGGCAUGACUGGAGUUCGGCAGGGGAGACUGGAAUUCCUGGUGUAGCGGUGAAAUGCGCAGAUAUCAGGAGGAACACCGGUGGCGAAGGCGGCCAUCUGGACGGAUACUGACGCUGAGACGCGAAAGCGUGGGGAGCGAACAGG